rnacentral:snoRNA from 1 species
ACCUCAUGGUUGGGACAUUUCUUGAGCUUUCCAUUAAAUCUCUCCCAUACCUCACAUAGAGGUUCUCCAUUGAAUUGAUGUAAAUUAGUGAUUUUAUCAUGCAAUU